AGUGAACGCUGGCGGUAGGCCUAACACAUGCAAGUCGAACGGCAGCACAGUAAGAGCUUGCUCUUACGGGUGGCGAGUGGCGGACGGGUGAGGAAUACAUCGGAAUCUACUUUUUCGUGGGGGACAACGUAGGGAAACUUACGCUAAUACCGCAUACGACCUACGGGUGAAAGCAGGGGAUCUUCGGACCUUGCGCGAUUGAAUGAGCCGAUGUCGGAUUAGCUAGUUGGCGAGGUAAAGGCCCACCAAGGCGACGAACCGUAGCUGGUCUGAGAGGAUGAUCAGCCACACUGGAACUGAGACACGGUCCAGACUCCUACGGGGGGCAGCAGUGGGGAAUAUUGGACAAUGGGCGCAAGCCUGAUCCAGCCAUACCGCGUGGGUGAAGAAGGCCUUCGGGUUGUAAAGCCCUUUUGUUGGGAAAGAAAAGCAGCAGGUUAAUACCCCGCUGUUCUGACGGUACCCAAAGAAUAAGCACCGGCUAACUUCGUG
rnacentral:rRNA from 1 species